rnacentral:rRNA from 1 species
UACGUAGGUGGCGAGCGUUGUCCGGAAUUACUGGGCGUAAAGGGUGCGUAGGCGGUAAUUUAAGUCAGAUGUGAAACCCCGGGGCUUAACUUCGGAAUUGCAUUUGAAACUGGGUUACUAGAGUGCAGGAGAGGGAAGCGGAAUUCCUAGUGUAGCGGUGAAAUGCGUAGAUAUUAGGAAGAACACCAGUGGCGAAGGCGGCUUUCUGGACUGUAACUGACGCUGAGGCACGAAAGCGUGGGGAG